GACGAACGCUGGCGGCGUGCUUAACACAUGCAAGUCGAACGGAAAGGCCCUGCUUUUGUGGGGUGCUCGCGUGGCGAACGGGUGAGUAACAUGUGAGUAUCCCGCCCUUGACUUUGGGAUAUCUUCAGGCAACUGGGGCUAAUACCUGCUAGCAGCUCCUGCUGCUUGGUGGGCGUCGGAAAGCUUCGGCGGUUGGGGAUGGACUGGCGGCUUACCAGCUUGUUGGUGGAGUAGUGGCUUACGAAGGCUUUGACGGGUAGCCGGCCUGAGAGGGUGACCGGCCACAUUGGGACUGAGAUACGGCGCAGACUCCUACGGGAGGCAGCAGUGGGGAAUAUUGCACAAUGGGCGGAAGCCUGGUGCAGAAACGCCGCGUGCGGGAUGACGGCCUUCGGGUUGUAAACCGCUUUCGCCUGUGACGAAGCGUGAGUGACGGUAAUGGGUAAAGAAGCACCGGCUAACUACGUG
rnacentral:rRNA from 1 species